rnacentral:rRNA from 2 species
CGCCUAUUGAACAUAUAAUAGGUCCAUCCUGCCCAGUGAUUUAUAUUCAACGGCCGCGGUAUCCUGACCGUGCAAAGGUAGCAUAAUCAUUUGCCUUUUAAUUGAAGGCUAGUAUGAAAGGACACACAAGAAUAAGACUGUCUCCACAAGGUUAACUUAAAACUGACUUUCAGGUGAAGAUGCCUGAAUUACAAUAAAGGACAAGAAGACCCUAUAGAGCUUUAUUAAUAAAAGACAUAUGACUUUAUUAUUAAUUUGGUUGGGACAACCAAAAGACAUUUAAACCUCUUUUAUUCCAUAAAUAACGCUCACCCUCUAUCGAACUAGAAUUUCAAGCUACCUUAGGGAUAACAGGCUAAUCCUACUAGAGAGACCACAUUGACAGUAGGGAUUGGCACCUCGAUGUUGGCUUAGUGUUACCAUUAGGCGCAGCCGCUUAAUAGAGUUGGUUUGUUCAACCAUUAAAUCACU